rnacentral:lncRNA from 1 species
UAAGAUAUAUUGCAAUUAUUAUACAUAGCAAUUAUUAUAUACAUUAGCCUCAACUCUGAAGAUAUUCUAAUCAGUAUAAUUAAUUAAUCUGCAAAUUACAUCACAGCAAUUAGGUGAAAUUGUUAACAAUAUUAUUCACCAAUUUCUAAAAAGCGAAUCUUUAUAUAUUCACCUGAGUAAAAUGGCUAAUGAUAGGUAUUAGUAAUAAUUGGUGCUAAUGACGUAAAGAUGAUUUUUAUAAAGAAUCUACCACCGCAUACUUCUGGAAAUAAACAACAGUAAAUUGAGCUCUAAAGCUAGAGAGUUAGCUCAUGAGCUAAUUGUAACUGCAAGUGGAAUUCAUUUACCCAAAGUAGCUAUUAAAUGAGCAAGUGAGGAUAAAAUCAAUAUACAGGAUAAAAUCAAAGCAGUUUUGUGGUUAAUUUGGAACAAGUAUGGCUGUCGCAUUAAAAAAAAAAAACAACAUUCGAAACAAACAUGAAGAAAAGUGUCGACGAGUUCCCCUUGCAUGUUGACACGGAUAAGCUGAAAAUGUAUAACGAUGCAUCUGUUAGGUUGAUAUAUAACAACUAAAAACAGAGCAGAUCAUUAGAAGUAACAGACACCUGAGUAAAGACGGAAGCUCGUUAUCUGAAUCUGUUUGGUAUAAUUUAGUUGCUCUCUUCACUAUUUUUUAUUGUCUCUCCGCCUUUUCACAUUUUGCUUUGAUUGUGUACUUUGGAAACUUCGAGGAUGAAUUGCUCUGUAAAAUGAAAUCCAACGAAAUGUCUUAAAGCUAAAUUUAAUCAAAAAAACAAUCAAUACAAUUUUGAAUAUUUACUGACGAUGGAAUCUAAGAGACUAAAAAGUUUAAUGAAAGAAAAAAAGCUGGCACUGAGUCAUAAUUUCAUAUUUUCAUGGAGUUGCGAAACUUUAAUGACAGACUGUGGGUCGGUUAACCAUUAAUUUAUUGUGGACAGGGUGUAAAGUACUUCUAGAAGGACAUACUUUUUAUAGUAGUUUAUUACGUUUGUAUAAAUAUUUAUGAAGUAAAAGCUAUCAAAAGAGAAAUUUAAUAUGCUUUAAAUCUCUAACUGGAAUGUAGUAAGAUCCUUCCUCAUAGUCUGUAAGAAGUAUUUAUUUUUUAAUUACUUUAUUACAUUAUACCAAAAUUGUACGUGCUUUGCGGUUGAAAAUUUACUACGGAGUAUUAAUUUUCUAUCAUAUCUGAAACUUGAGAAAGAUGAACCUACCACAGAAUAUGAUAGUCUGGAAUCUGUACUAAUUCCAGUAAAUGGAUAAGCGAAUGUAAUUAGCAUAAUCUCGGAAACAUUAUCAACUGAUCAAUGUAUGCGCAGAAUUAUUACAGCUUUAUUAAUAUGCAGUUAGUUUGUAUCAUUGAUAUUCAUGAAAAUAUGUAAAAAUAAAAAUGUAAAAGAACUUCA